UACGGGAGGCAGCAGUGGGGAAUAUUGGACAAUGGGCGAAAGCCUGAUCCAGCCAUGCCGCAUGAGUGAAGAAGGCCUUCGGGUUGUAAAGCUCUUUUAGUGAGAAAGAUAAUGACGGUACUCACAGAAGAAGUCCUGGCUAACUCCGUGCCAGCAGCCGCGGUAAUACGGAGAGGGCUAGCGUUAUUCGGAAUUAUUGGGCGUAAAGAGCGCGUAGGCUGAUUAGUAAGUUAAAAGUGAAAUCCCAAAGCUUAACUUUUGGAAUUGCUUUUUAAAACUGCUAGUCUAGAGAUUGAAAGUAGGAUAGAGGAAUUCCGUAGUGUAGAGGUGAAAGUUCGUAAAUAUUAGGAGGAACACCAGUAGGCGAAGGCGUCUAUCUGGUUCAAAUCUGACGCUGAGGCGCGAAGGGCGUGAGGAGCAAACAGGGAUUAGAUACCCGU
rnacentral:rRNA from 1 species